GGACUCGUAGCUCAGUUGGUUAGAGCGUCUCAUUUACACUGAGAAGGUCGAGGGUUCAAGUCCUUCCGAGUCCA
rnacentral:tRNA from 1 species